GACGUAGGGUGCAAGCGUUGUCCGGAAUUAUUGGCGUAAAGAGCUCGUAGGCGGCUCGUCACCUCGGCUGUGAAAACCCGGGGCUCAACCCCGGGCCUGCAGUCGAUACGGGCGAGCUAGAGUUCGGCAGGGGAGACUGGAAUUCCUGGUGUAGCGGUGAAAUGCGCAGAUAUCAGGAGGAACACCGGUGGCGAAGGCGGGUCUCUGGGCCGAUACUGACGCUGAGGAGCGAAAGCGUGGGGAGCGAACAGG
rnacentral:rRNA from 1 species